rnacentral:rRNA from 1 species
AUCAGCGGCGAUAGCACAUUGAAUGCACCAGUUCCCCACAGUCCCACGGAUCACUGAAGUUAAGCAACGUUGCGCGUAAUUAGUACCUGGAUGGUGACCAUGGAGGGAAUCGUGUGCUGCUGGGU